GCUGCCUUUCUUCUUUUCCACCCGGGUCUGUCUGGGGCAAUGCCUUCCAUUAAGCUGAGGACCAGGCAGAAGCAGUGCAAGAAAACACCUAGAUGGGGUUGUCAAGUCUCAUCCAUCAUCAAAAAUCAAGUCAGAAAUCUGAAUGAGAAUCUCUAGGCACUUCCAGUAAGUAAAUCAGUUGUUUUUCUUAAAUCAUGCUUCUGUGUUUUCUUUUGUAAGAUCUUCCAAAUAUGAUGCAGAUAUACUUCACCAAAAGACAAGAAAAUAGUUAACUUUACUAAAUUCAGAAUGAGGUAGGAAUCAUCAGACUUCUUAAGACAUUGUUCUCUUCUUUCUCAAUUGUAUUCAGAGCAAUUAAUGAAUAAAAGGAAGGCAUUAGCAAUGAAAUAAAUCUAU
rnacentral:lncRNA from 12 species